UCUUCGGUAGCCUAGUGGUUAGAGCGUCCGCCUCGGAUGCGGGAGGUCAUGAGUUUGAUCCUUGCUUAGUCAUACCAAAGA